rnacentral:sRNA from 18 species
UGCUGUUAAUUGACAGCCACUAAUGAUCCCGUUACCUGAGAGGAUCGCCUUCGGGUGGUAACAAAAGAACGCUUCCUUAGCCUGAGAGGGAGUACGUAGCUUAGCUGCGUGGUACAUCUGCCCGCCUUUGAGAGUAGAUAUCGUUGAUAGUGAGCGCGA